rnacentral:lncRNA from 1 species
GGAGAAAUGAAGUCUUCCUAACUCUGGCCUCCUGCUGCUACACAAGCCAGGCCAAUGAUGUGGCAAGUCCAAGGGGCACAUGGCUUUUCAGUGUCAUUGUUUGAGGAGGCCAUGAGUGGUUUAGCUGGUGGCCUCUGCUUCUUUUUCUUUUGAGUGCUUCUGAAUACAUGACUGUGCUCUGAAUACAGAGCUACCACUGCGGGGUAAACCAAGCCACAGCUGUCCUCUUCCAAGGUUAGGGUCGCUGCUCAGCAGGAGCUGAUGUGCUACAAGGAAUGAUGAUCUUCUACUGGGAAAGUCUCCAGGGGAGCGAGCUUUCAAGAUCUGCUGCGGAGUGUGUCCUGCCAGUGCGUGGAAGGCCGUUUGUUUACAAAACUUGGUGAAUACCCAGAUGGCGCUUCCCUGUGCCCUGCAGCUGCUCAACAAGCAAGGAGACUUGCAGGCACCCACAGAACUCAUUCUGUGAAGCCCUUUCUUCUCAGAAGAGUCUUCACUGCUAUUGUGACGUCCUGCUUGCCCCUCCUGUUUUAUUCCAGAGGCACAACGUUAACACAAAAUGUUGGAGAUCAUGACAGCGUUGGGCUCCAAAAACAGGAUUGUUUGUUGUUUUGAAGCCAGUCCCCAAAAUGACUUGAACUUCUAAAGAAGAAGCUGGCAUCCUUUCUAUCAUUUACACAAUCUGAGGUUCAGUGUGUGAGGAUAGGAA